UUUUGUUUUGGACUUUUACAGUUGAAACAUAUAAGCUAAUUUUAUUGGUUGUUGUUAAUUUUAUAUGACACGGUUUACUGAACAAAAUAAACUUUGGAAGUACUCGGGAGUCGAAGUGUUGACUUGUCAGCAGGGGGCGCACUGACUCGUCUUAGCAGGUACGCUGUAAAAUGUAGCUGUUUUCAAAAGCUUAACUUGCCAAAUGCACAAAUGGUCCCUACCUUUCUAUGCAUAUUCACAACCAGGAGCGAAUUCACUGCAUAACACAGGGCCUUAAAAUAGGGGGACAAUGACCUCCCCAUCUCCCACUCAGCCCCAUCUGUGAAAUGGCCUGAGAAAGGAAAACCGGCUUAAAACAGUAUUCCUCCAUGUCUUUCUGUGAAGAGGAUAUAAGUAUGGAAAACAGAGUUGGGCAGUGAAAGCAGAAACGCUUUGCAAAAUUCCUAGGGAUAUGCGGUAACCUACUCCAUAGGUUACCUUUCAGGUUGUAUUUUUGGGGAAACAGUCAAGAAGAGAAAGAUGUAUUCUAAAGGUAUUAUCUAUUAAAUGGUGAACAAUCUUCUACUUGAGGCAGGCUUUGACUUCUAAAUAAAACCCCAGCUCCUGGAGACUUAGUCCAGGCUUCCUGAAUCUCUUUUACUCCAUUCGAUAUAUAACGGCGCCUUUAAAUCUUGGCAUCUCCUCUGAUUGUGGCAAGAUUCUGAAUUUAUCCUUGAAAGGGCUUGUUAGGGAAAAGGAAAUACGAAAUAGCCGACGGUAAGAGGUCACUGUGAGCUUGGAACUUUUUAGCACAAUACAACUUAAUGCAGUUGCAGAAAAGUUUUCACAGAGCUCAGGGUUUCCGCCCUAGAGAUUUUUAGAUACAGCCAAGGAAGACUGAACUUUAUUGUGGUGAAGGAUGAAAAGAUUCGAGGAAAACUUCCUGAAAUAGUGAAGGGCAAAUGCUCCCCGGUUCUGAGGAAUUAGUCAGUUUGUCACUAACAGUUUUCCCAAGGAGAUUUGGAAAGCUUGACUCAGAAAGGGGAGCUGUGAGUGACUGGAAGUGAGAAGCUGGUUUCCACGGUUCAGCAGCUCCCGGCACCUGUGUGUCACCGAGCCUGGAGAAGGGCCCCGGGCUGGGGGCUCUGCAGGAGGGGGAAAGACACCUUAUUCUUUCGAACUUGACUCUAAGCCAGCCAGGAUCCAGCCAGAAGUUUUUCUUUGAAACUAACUUGCGAAAGUCAAGGUUUGGAUGUAAGUGGUAUUUCAUCUAGGAGGGUUGGAAAUUAUGUGAGUAACAUAUGCAAGGGAGCACUUUGAAAAAUAUUUUAAUUCCAGGAUUUUUAUCCACCAGCUCUCACAUUUAGAGUCAGGAAAUGUACAGGCAGGUUUGUGCAAAUAGCACAAAGUAGAAGAU
rnacentral:lncRNA from 1 species